rnacentral:lncRNA from 1 species
GGACCCCUGAUCUUGUGGCGUGCCACCGCGCGAGGCCGAGGAGCUCCCGCAGACCAGUGGGCGUGGCGUCCUUGUCGCGGCUCUGUGGAGACCUGGCGAUGGAGAGCAGCAUGGCGGACCCCUGAUCUUGUGGCGUGCCACCGCGCGAGGCCGAGGAGCUCCCGCAGACCAGUGGGCGUGGCGUCCUUGUCGCGGCUCUGUGGAGACCUGGCGAUGGAGAGCAGCAUGGCGGACCCCUGAUCUUGUGGCGUGCCACCGCGCGAGGCCGAGGAGCUCCCGCAGACCAGUGGGCGUGGCGUCCUUGUCGCGGCUCUGUGGAGACCUGGCGAUGGAGAGCAGCAUGGCGGACCCCUGAUCUUGUGGCGUGCCACCGCGCGAGGCCGAGGAGCUCCCGCAGACCAGUGGGCGUGGCGUCCUUGUCGCGGCUCUGUGGAGACCUGGCGAUGGUGAGCGGCCCCUGUCCUCAGUGGUGGAGAACUCGCCCUUGGGGCGCUCGUCGGUCCGGAGCCCCGGGCCACCCCCGCUUCUCGCGGGCU